AUGAAUGUACGGGGAGAGAGCGCGAAGUAGCGCCGCCGAAGGAGCAAGUAAGUUUUACGAAUCUCUCAGGCAAAAGGACUCGUACGCGACG
rfam:Lysinibacillus sp. BF-4 contig00001, whole genome shotgun sequence.